AUUGAACGCUGGCGGCAGGCCUAACACAUGCAAGUCGAGCGGAUGAAGGGAGCUUGCUCCUGGAUUCAGCGGCGGACGGGUGAGUAAUGCCUAGGAAUCUGCCUGGUAGUGGGGGAUAACGUCCGGAAACGGGCGCUAAUAUCGCAUACGUCCUGAGGGAGAAAGUGGGGGAUCUUCGGACCUCACGUUAUCAGAUGAGUCUAGGCCGGAUUAGCUAGUUGGUGGGGUAAAGGCCUACCAAGGCGACGAUCCGUAACUGGUCUGAGAGGAUGAUCAGUCACACUGGAACUGAGACACGGUCCAGACUCCUACGGUGGGCAGCAGUGGGGAAUAUUGGGCAAUGGGCGAAAGCCUGAUCCAGCCAUGCCGCGUGUGUGAAGAAGGUCUUCGGAUUGUAAAGCACUUUAAGUUGGGGGGAAGGGCAGUAAGUUAAUACCUUGCUGUUUUGACGUUACCAACAGAAUAAGCACCGGCUAACUUCGUG
rnacentral:rRNA from 1 species